GAUGAACGCUGGCGGCGUGCCUAAUACAUGCAAGUCGAGCGAACGGACGAGAAGCUUGCUUCUCUGAUGUUAGCGGCGGACGGGUGAGUAACACGUGGAUAACCUACCUAUAAGACUGGGAUAACUUCGGGAAACCGGAGCUAAUACCGGAUAAUAUUUUGAACCGCAUGGUUCAAAAGUGAAAGACGGUCUUGCUGUCACUUAUAGAUGGAUCCGCGCUGCAUUAGCUAGUUGGUAAGGUAACGGCUUACCAAGGCAACGAUGCAUAGCCGACCGGAGAGGGUGAUCGGCCACACGGGAACUGAGACACGGUCCAGACUCCUACGGGAGGCAGCAGUAGGGAAUCUUCCGCAAUGGGCGAAAGCCUGACGGAGCAACGCCGCGUGAGUGAUGAAGGUCUUCGGAUCGUAAAACUCUGUUAUUAGGGAAGAACAUAUGUGUAAGUAACUGUGCACAUCUUGACGGUACCUAAUCAGAAAGCCACGGCUAACUACGUG
rnacentral:rRNA from 1 species